AUGCUGCAUGAGCAGUACCACGGCAAGGUACUCCUGGAACAGCACCCCAACUGCAGCUGCUGGCUGCGCGUCCUUUGGGGGGGUCUGGAAGGGGCCAAGAUGGUGCCUCCGGGGACCUGCUGUGUGACUGGCGCCGCCAUUGCAGUCAACACUGGAUGCUGUGGCUGCUUAGGCCAUUGGCCACAGCAGGUGCCGGUGUCAGAGAAGGUGUUUAUUCAGCGAGACUACAGCAAUGGCACAUGCUGCCAGUUCCAGACCAAGUUCCCUGCAAAGCUGGAAAACCAGAUUGAUAGACAGCAGUUUGAAGAAACUGUACAGACUCUAAAUAACCUUUAUGCAGAAGCAGAAAAGCUCAAGGGCCAAUCCUAUCUCGAAGGCUGUCUGGCAUGUUUAACAGCAUACACCAUCUUCUUAUGUAUGGAAACCCAUUAUGAGAAGGUUCUGAAGAAAGUUUCCAAGUAUAUUCAAGAACAAAAUGAGAAGAUAUAUGCUCCCCAAGGCCUCCUUCUAACAGACCCCAUUGAGAGAGGACUUCGAGUUAUUGAAAUUACCAUUUAUGAAGACAGAGGCAUGAGCAGUGGAAGAUAAACCAUUGACUUAAAGAUCCUGCCUCCUUCUGAGACUCUCAUCUGUCCACUGACUGACCACAGAGUGUCCCUACCUCGUCUCCAAGCAUCAUUCCUUUGUAUCUGCUGCCAGAGCCAUGGUGCCAUUUACUCCAAGGACUAACUUUCUAAAAUUCCAUGCCUGGGGUGACUUCUAGUUGUUCAGCAUCCACUUUGUGUCUCUAAAUUGUGCAGGACUCUAAUAUUUUGAAGAAUUUCUAAGAAAACACAAUGAAGCGCUUCAUUUUUAAAAUUCAGAGCCAUUUAGUAAAAUAUGCAUUUGGUCACCCAGUACAUUAUUUCUUCCCUGCCACCAGUACCACUUUAUUUCUUGGCCAGUUUCCCAGGUGGCUCCUGACU